GAUGAAUGCUGGCGGCGUGCCUAACACAUGCAAGUCGAGCGGCAGCGCGUCUAGUUUACUAGAUGGCGGCGAGCGGCGGACGGCUGAGUAACGCGUGGGAACGUGCCCCAAAGUGAGGAAUAACUGCCCGAAAGGGUAGCUAAUGCCGCAUAUGGUCUUCGGAUUAAAGUAUUUAUACGCUUUGGGAGCGGCCCGCGUCGGAUUAGGUUGUUGGUGAGGUAAUGGCUCACCAAGCCGACGAUCCGUGGCUGGCCUGAGAGGAUGAUCAGCCAGACUGGAACUGAGACACGGUCCAGACUCCUACGGGAGGCAGCAGUGAGGAAUCUUCCACAAUGGGCGAAAGCCUGAUGGAGCAACGCCGCGUGCAGGAUGAAGGCCUUCGGGUCGUAAACUGCUUUUAUAAGUGAAGAAUAUGACGGUAACUUAUGAAUAAGCACCGGCUAACUACGUGCCAGCCGCCGCAGUAA
rnacentral:rRNA from 1 species